UCAUUUGUGGCAUGCGGCGGCAGCGGCGAUGGCUAGCACGGCUGCGGCGACAACAGCGACGGCUGGCAUGACACCGACAGCGGCGGACUACAUCACCCUCCAAGAGAAGGAGCUCGCUCGGCAGCAGCCUCCAUUGGUAGUUGUUCAUCCUCUCAUUGAUUGGAUCCAGUCUUUUGAGAAUUAGUACUCAAUAUGCUGCAGAACUUUUGAGAAACACAAAAGAGGAUCCGAUGUAAUACAAAACGAGCAUGAUCCAUUCUAUUCCAGAGAGCAGUAGCAUCGAUGGCCAAGGGUGCAGCGCAAAGAUGAUAGCGGCCGAUGGCGGUCUGACCUCCUGUAAUCAAGCACAUGUCGUGAGGCAAACUUGAACGUGUUCACAUAGCCACCGCUGAUGCAUAUACAUGAAUGCUUUAUCAUGUACUGUAUGAAUGGAACGACUAUAGUAGGUUUCUUUGCACUUUUGCAAACAAGCCAUUUUUGUUACCAGUGAUCAAACAUGUGCAUACUUCUUAUUACGUGUAUACAUAUACUCUUUUUUGGUGAAUAAAUUCUUAUGCGAGCUUACCAUA